rnacentral:rRNA from 1 species
UACAGAGGUCUCAAGCGUUGUUCGGAUUCAUUGGGCGUAAAGGGUGCGCAGGCGGCGCGGUAAGUCGGGUGUGAAACCUCGGAGCUUAACUCCGAAACUGCAUUCGAUACUGCCGUGCUUGAGGACUGGAGAGGAGACUGAAAUUUACGGUGUAGCGGUGAAAUGCGUAGAUAUCGUAAGGAAGACCAGUGGCGAAGGCGGGUCUCUGGACAGUUCCUGACGCUGAGGCACGAAGGUCAGGGGAGCAAACGGG